UACGAGAGGCCCAAACGUUAUUCGGAAUUACUGGGCUUAAAGAGUUCGUAGGCGGCAUUGCAAGUAGGGUGUGAAAGCCCCUCGGCUCAACCGAGGAAUUGCGCUCUAAACUGCAGUGCUUGAGGACCUAGAGGUGAGCAGAACAGAUGGUGGAGCGGUGAAAUGCGUUGAUAUCAUCUGGAAUACCGGAGGCGAAGGCGGCUCACUGGGAGUUUUCUGACGCUGAGGAACGGAAAGCCAGGGUAGCGAACGG
rnacentral:rRNA from 1 species